GUAAAUUGCUCCGAGCCAUUGUUCCUAAAGCGGACGCCAUGGAACAUUGGACAGGGUAGGUCGGGAAACGGACCUGCCUUCCACCUUUGAAAAGGAGAACUUA
rnacentral:ncRNA from 1 species